rnacentral:tRNA from 1 species
GCCGACAUAGCUCAGUUGGUAGAGCAGCGCAUUCGUAACGCGAAGGUUAUAGGUUCAAUCCCUAUUGUCGGCA